rnacentral:misc_RNA from 1 species
GUUUCUUUAUUAUUAAAGUGUAAUUCACUGUUUUUCAGAAGUAUAAUAUCAAUAAGAGUGGUUCUUUGCUUGACUGACGACAGCACCGAUCGAUCGCUCAAUGAAGAGACAGGAUCACCACAAGUUAUCAGCCUGGUCAAGCAAGUUCAGGCUUUUGGAAUGAAGAUCUGUGGAAUUUUGCGCUCAUCGCCAAGAGACAUUUCAGUGGUUCACAAAGGUGUCGCGGAAUCCGCGGGCUAACGAGCUGGGAAUAAAUCCGAGCGUCGCUUCGCCUCAUUUGGAAUUUGUAAUGAUCCAACCGCAGGUUCACCUACGGUUA